rnacentral:rRNA from 1 species
UCGAACGGCAGCACGGGAGCUUGCUCCUGGUGGCGAGUGGCGGACGGGUGAGUAACGCGUGGGAAUCUACCUACUAGCGGGGGAUAGCCCGGAGAAAUUCGGAUUAAUACCGCAUAAGCCCUACGGGGGAAAGCUGGGGGAUCUUCGGACCUGGCACUAGUAGAUGAGCCCGCGUUAGAUUAGCUAAUUGGUGGGGUAAGGGCCUACCAAGGCGACGAUCUAUAGCUGGUCUGAGAGGAAGAUCAGCCACACUGGGACUGAGACACGGCCCAGGACUCC